CCUACGGGAGGCAGCAGUGGGGAAUAUUGGACAAUGGGCGAAAGCCUGAUCCAGCAAUGCCGCGUGAGUGAUGAAGGCCUUAGGGUUGUAAAGCUCUUUUACCAGGGAUGAUAAUGACAGUACCUGGAGAAUAAGCUCCGGCUAACUCCGUGCCAGCAGCCGCGGUAAUACGGAGGGAGCUAGCGUUGUUCGGAAUUACUGGGCGUAAAGCGUACGUAGGCGGUUAUUCAAGUCAGAGGUGAAAGCCCGGGGCUCAACCCCGGAACUGCCUUUGAAACUAGAUAGCUAGAAUCUUGGAGAGGUUAGUGGAAUUCCGAGUGUAGAGGUGAAAUUCGUAGAUAUUCGGAAGAACACCAGUGGCGAAGGCGACUAACUGGACAAGUAUUGACGCUGAGGUACGAAAGCGUGGGGAGCAAACAGGAUUAGAUACCCUGGUAGUCCACGCCGUAAACGAUGAUAACUAGUUGUUCGGGCACUUGGUGCCUGAGUGACGCAGCUAACGCAUUAAGUUAUCCGCCUGGGGAGUACGGUCGCAAGAUUAAAACUCAAAGGAAUUGACGG
rnacentral:rRNA from 1 species